rnacentral:rRNA from 1 species
UUGGAGGGCAAGUCUGGUGCCAGCAGCCGCGGUAAUUCCAGCUCCAAUAGCGUAUAUUAAAGUUGUUGCAGUUAAAAAGCUCGUAGUUGGAUUUUAGGCCUGGCCGGGCGGUCCGCUUUGGCGAGUACUGUCCUGUGUCGGGUCCACCUUCUGGUGAACCAGUAUGUCCUUUAUUGGGUGUGCCGGGGAGCCAGGACCAUUACCUUGAAAAAAUUAGAGUGUUUAAAGCAGGCAUUUGCUUGAAUAGAUUAGCAUGGAAUAAUAGAAUAGGACGUUGUGGUUCUAUUUUGUUGGUUUCUAGGACCACCGUAAUGAUUAAUAGGGAUAGUUGGGGGCAUUAGUAUUCAAUUGUCAGAGGUGAAAUUCUUGGAUUUAUUGAAGACUAACUAUUGCGAAAGCAUUUGCCAAGGAUGUUUUCAUUAAUCAAGAACGAAAGUUAGGGGAUCGAAGACGAUCAGAUACCGUCGUAGUCUUAACCAUAAACUAUGCCGACUAGGAAUCGGGCGACGUUAUUUUCAUGACUCGCUCGGCGCCUUAUGGGAAACCAAAGUGUUUGGGUUC